rnacentral:rRNA from 1 species
GGCUUAGAGUUUGAUCAUGGCUCAGGAUGAACGCUGGCGGCGUGCCUAACACAUGCAAGUCGAGCGAAGCACUUUGCUCUGAUUUCUUCGGAUUGAAGAGUGAUUUGACUGAGCGGCGGACGGGUGAGUAACGCGUGGGUAACCUGCCUCACACAGGGGGAUAACAGUUAGAAAUGACUGCUAAUACCGCAUAAGGCCACAGCACCGCAUGGUGCAGGGGUAAAAACUCCGGUGGUGUGAGAUGGGCCCGCGUCUGAUUAGUUAGUUGGCGGGGUAACGGCCCACCAAGGCGACGAUCAGUAGCCGACCUGAGAGGGUGACCGGCCACAUUGGGACUGAGACACGGCCCAAACUCCUACGGGAGGCAGCAGUGGGGAAUAUUGCACAAUGGGGGAAACCCUGAUGCAGCGACGCCGCGUGAGCGAAGAAGUAUUUCGGUAUGUAAAGCUCUAUCAGCAGGGAAGAAAUUGACGGUACCUGACUAAGAAGCACCGGCUAAAUACGUGCCAGCAGCCGCGGUAAUACGUAUGGUGCAAGCGUUAUCCGGAUUUACUGGGUGUAAAGGGAGCGUAGACGGAGCAGCAAGUCUGGAGUGAAAACCCGGGGCUCAACCCCGGGACUGCUUUGGAAACUGUUGUUCUAGAGUGCUGGAGAGGUAAGUGGAAUUCCUAGUGUAGCGGUGAAAUGCGUAGAUAUUAGGAGGAACACCAGUGGCGAAAGCGGCUUACUGGACAGUAACUGACGUUGAGGCUCGAAAGCGUGGGGAGCAAACAGGAUUAGAUACCCUGGUAGUCCACGCCGUAAACGAUGACUGCUAGGUGUUGGGUGGCAAAGCCAUUCGGUGCCGCAGCUAACGCAAUAAGCAGUCC